rnacentral:rRNA from 1 species
ACGAACGCUGGCGGCAGGCUUAACACAUGCAAGUCGCACGGGUGUAGCAAUACAUCAGUGGCAGACGGGUGAGUAACACGUGGGAACCUUCCUAGGGGUACGGAACAUCUCAGGGAAACUUGAGCUAACACCGUAUACGUCCGUAAGGAGAAAGAUUUAUCGCCCUUCGACGGGCCCGCGUCGGAUUAGCUAGUUGGUGGGGUAACGGCCUACCAAGGCGACGAUCCGUAGCUGAUCUGAGAGGAUGAUCAGCCACACUGGGACUGAGACACGGCCCAGACUCCUACGGGAGGCAGCAGUGGGGAAUCUUGGACAAUGGGCGCAAGCCUGAUCCAGCCAUGCCGCGUGAGUGAAGAAGGCCUUAGGGUUGUAAAGCUCUUUUGCCAGGGACGAUAAUGACGGUACCUGUAGAAGAAGCCCCGGCAAACUUCGU